GCCAGGGCGCCUGCAGCCAGUUGCUCGCAGGGGCAUCGCCCCGAACGGGGACCUUUCAACCCGCCACCACGCACCACGCUUCGCUGCAGGCUGCGCAGCAGCACGCUGGCGCACUGCAAAAACAUCCGCAGUUUGGCGCGGAAAAUGGAUUUGCAGAUUCCAUGCCCUGCCCAGGGCGCCACCACUCAAGUGCAUGUUUACGAAGGGAGAACCCGACCUCCGAAACACGUCAUGCCACAAUGUCCACAGUUGUUUUGUUACGUGUACACCGGUAAACAUCGAAAACAGGCGAACGCGGACAACAACAAGCCGUGACGAGUGCCCUGAGCACUGCUGCGCACCGGGCGGCGCCUAUAUCAAGGGACGCCAGGGAAGGCCUGGGCAUCAGUCGGCAAAUCAGUCCAGGACCAACUCGCCGAUACCGCCGCCGCCAUGGCCCUGCAAACGAAAGCCACCCCCACCGUGCUGCUGCUGCUGGUGGUCUCCGCCGCCAUCGUCCUCGCCAAGGCCGUGCCCGUGGACGUGGACCAGUCCGCGGACUCCGCGGUCCUGUCGAGGCCCGCGUCGCUCUUGUUCGGUCACAACAGUGAAGUGCGUGAUGCCGGUGCAGGGCAUGCCGCCGCCAACGUGCUGCAGCCGCUGCUGCUGACGUGUGAGUCUGCCGCCUGCACCAGAAAGUGCCGCAGCCAGUGGCGCAGAGGAGGGUCCUGCGAGCGAGGGCUGUGCAUUUGCCGCUGAACGGCGCCUAUCCAUCCAGUCUGCGAGCGCUCCACCGGUCCGGCUUGGCCCGGCUUGGCUUGGCUCCACCGACUUUCAGAGGCUCAGGCUCGCCUCGCCAUCACCGCACUUCAAGAGCGAGCCGGUUUGGCGUCUGCACACUGCAGCCGUGAACAUGAGCUUGUUGGGUUGCCUACGCGUUACCCGAUCAGGGGCAAGGGGCUCCCGCCCGAGGGGUAGGCAACCCAUUUGACGCCGUCACGACGCUGCUUCCGCCAAGAGCGCGUGCUUUUUCUGCGAACUGCACCAUAUGCGACACUGUGACACUUCAAAUUGAUCUCGAUAGUUUUAGUUCGCGAUGAUUGAUUUAUCUGUCUUGAGAAUCUCCCGCUUUUGUUUUUAAGGGUAUUUGUUUUAUAAUGGUAUGACCUUUAUUUGGUCUAACAAUAAGGAGUAACUUUGAAUUUGCAAAAAUAAACUUGUUCUAUUGCAGGGGAUAGUUGCUGUUUUUUGCGACAAUGACCCAGACAGGAAAGGUUGACAAGAAA